rnacentral:rRNA from 1 species
AGCUCCAGAAGCGUAUAUUAAAGUUGUUGCAGUUAAAACGCUCGUACGACCGCUCGUAUUGCAGUUAAAACGCUAGUAGUCGGGUUUCGGGUCGGGCCGAGCGGUCUGCCGAUGGGUAUGCACUGUUUGGCGCGGCCUUCUUUCCGGAGACCGCGGCUACUCUUAACUGAGCGGGCGUGGGAGACGGAUCGUUUACUUUGAAAAAAUCAGAGUGUUUCAAGCAGGCAGCUCGCUCUUGCAUGGUACAGCAUGGGAUGAUUGAAUAGGACUCCGGUGCUAUUUUGUUGGUUUCGAACACCAGGAGUAAUGAUUAACAGGGACAGUCAGGGGCACUCGUAUUCCGUCGAGAGAGGUGAAAUUCUCAGACCAAUGGAAGACGAACCACUGCGAAAGCAUUUGCCAGGGAUGUUUUCACUG